rnacentral:rRNA from 1 species
CCCUUAGAUGUUCUGGGCUGCACGCGCGCUACACUGAUGCACUCAACGAGUUUACGACCUUGCCCGAUAGGGUUGGGUAAUCUUUUUAAAAUGCAUCGUGAUGGGGAUAGAUUAUUGCAAUUAUUAAUCUUCAACGAGGAAUUCCUAGUAAGCACGAGUCAUCAGCUCGUGCUGAUUACGUCCCUGCCCUUUGUACACACCGCCCGUCGCUCCUACCGAUUGAGUGCUCAGGUGAAUAAUUCGGACUGCAGCAAUGUUUGGAUCCCGAACGUUGCAGCGGAAAGUUUAGUGAACCUUAUCACUUAGAGAAAGGAGAAGUCGUAACA